rnacentral:rRNA from 1 species
GUAGGUGGCAAGCGUUGUCCGGAAUUAUUGGGCGUAAAGCGCGCGCAGGCGGUUCUUUAAGUCUGAUGUGAAAGCCCACGGCUCAACCGUGGAGGGUCAUUGGAAGCUGGAGAACUUGAGUACAGAAGAGGAAAGCGGAAUUCCACGUGUAGCGGUGAAAUGCGUAGAGAUGUGGAGGAACACCAGUGGCGAAGGCGGCUUUCUGUCUGUAACUGACGCUGAGGCGCGAAAGCGUGGGGGAGCAAACAGGAUUAGAUACCCUGGUAGUCCACGCCGUAAACGAUGAGUGCUAAGUGUUAGGGGGUUUUCCGCCCCUUAGUGCUGCAGCUAACGCAUUAAGCACUCCGCCUGGGAGUACGGCCGCAAGGCUG